AUCUCACUCUAUCCUUUCACUGAAAACCCUGCCUUCUUUUCCUUCUCUUUUUAUAGAUAUGGAAACAGAGGUUCAGAGAAGUUAGGCCGCUGGCUCGAGGUUCCUCAGCUAAUACGUGGCAGAGUGGGGUCCUGCCAUGGCCUCUGGCUCUUUCCACUGAGCUGCACUGCCGCUUGGUUGGCCACCCUUUGGAAAGCAGCGCUGGAGAUUUUCCAUCUUGAUGGUGAAAUGUGCCUUAUAAAGAAGCUGUUGGCCCAGGGGGAAGAAGGGAAUGGCAUCUUGAUGAAAGGACUACUCAUAAAGAGCUCCCUCCUAGAAAGGCCAGUGGAACAAUCUGGGGACAAUUACACGAGCACCAGUAGCUGCUGGGCAAAAUUACCUGGAUUUGAAUACAUGAAGCCACUCUCUCCUUGCCUCCCUUGUUCCAACCCGUCGAAACACCUGAUGAGGCUCUAGAAACCAAGUUUUAGGAGGGAUGUCUGAAGGAGGAUGAGAUGUUCCAACUGGAGAAGAGAAGAUGCCAGAAAGAACCACCAUCAUGCUCUUCAGCCUACUGGUAGGUGGUAUGUGUGUGUGGAAGGGUAAUCAGAUUUGAGGUGACUCAAGAGGUAGGACUAAGACCCAUGGGUGAGAGCUGGAGGAGGACAGGUUCCAGGUCAGAAUAAGGAAGUUAGCAGCUGCACUAGUUAGGAGCUGAGCCAUCGUGCAAGCCACUGACACUGGAGGAAGCUUCUCUCUUGUUUACAUUAUCAUUGUCUUCAUCAUCUGUAUCACCAUCAUCAUUUACUGAGCACUUAGAGGUGCCAGGCCCUCAAAUAAGCACUUCAUUCACGUGAUCUCAGCAUCCCUUCUACUUACUGUUACCUGCUCUUCUCUCUCUAUCCCCUAAACCCUCUGGCUUGUAGUUUGGGGGAGAUGUUUGGAGCUUGAAACAAGGAAUUUGGAUAAGGCUGGAGAGUCUGGGUGGUCCAGGUAGGGAGGUACCUACAGAACUGCAGGGCUUAGGAAGCAAAGUAUUUGCCUAAUGCAAAAGUAAAUGUGCCCUUCUGUACCUGAUAGCCAGGCCUUGUUCUUAGUGAAGGGGGCAGAUAAAUGUGCUUGCUUACUUUGGCUCAGCCUUCCCUGCACCCACUUUUUAAAUGGUAUUUAUUUGGCUGCACUGGGUCUUCGUCUCAGCGUUUAGGAUCUUAGUUGUGACAUGUGAGACCUUAUUCCCUGACCAGGGAUGGAACCUGAGCCCCUGCAUUUGGAGCAUGGAGUCUUAGCCACUGGACCACCAAGAAAGUCCCAGCCUUCCCCUUUUGAUUCCCUUAGCCGCACAUGUCAUGAGAUAUAACAUCAUCACUCUCCUUUCAGCCUCGUCCCCACCAACCUACAUGGAAAGCAGCACAGAGAAAUGAGUUAUGUGUAAUGAGAUUUUACAUAUAAUUUUAAGAUUUUGGUUUCCCCUUCCAGG
ensembl:lncRNA